AUUGAACGCUGGCGGCAUGCCUUACACAUGCAAGUCGAACGGCAGCACGGGUGCUUGCACCUGGUGGCGAGUGGCGAACGGGUGAGUAAUACAUCGGAACGUACCUUAUCGUUGGGGAUAACGCAGCGAAAGUUGCGCUAAUACCGCAUAAGCCCUGAGGGGGAAAGCGGGGGACAGGAAGGCCUCGAGCGAUUAGAGCGGCCGAUGUCUGAUUAGCUUGUUGGUGAGGUAAAAGCUCACCAAGGAGAGGACCAGUAGCUGGUCUGAGAGGACGAUCAGCCACACUGGGACUGAGACACGGCCCAGACUCCUACGGGAGGCAGCAGUGGGGAAUUUUGGACAAUGGGGGCAACCCUGAUCCAGCAAUGCCGCGUGAGUGAAGAAGGCCUUCGGGUUGUAAAGCUCUUUUGUCAGGGAAGAAACAGCAGCUCUAACACAGUCUGCGAAUGACGGUACCUGAAGAAUAAGCACCGGCUAACUACGUGCCAGCCGCCGCAGUAA
rnacentral:rRNA from 1 species